rnacentral:lncRNA from 1 species
AGCAGAACUUACACCAUCCCCAACCCUAUCCACAAUGUCCUAGCAGAACGUACACCAUCCCCAUCCCUAUCCACAAUGUCCUAGCAGAACUUACACCAUCCCCAACCCUAUCCACAAUGUCCCAGCAGAACUUACACCAUCCCCAUCCCUAUCCACAAUGUCCUAGCAGAACUUACACCAUCCCUAUCCACAAUGUCCUAGCAGAACUUACACCAUCCCCAUCCCUAUCCACAAUGUCCUAGCAGAACUUACACCAUCCCCAACCCUAUCCACAAUGUCCCAGCAGAACUUACACCAUCCCCAUCACUAUCCACAAUGUCCUAGCAGAACUUACACCAUCCCCAUCCCUAUCCACAAUGUCCCAGCAGAACGUACACCAUCCCCAUCCCUAUCCACAAUGUCCCAGCAGAACUUACACCAUCCCCAACCCUAUCCACAAUGUCCUAGCAGAACUUACUCCAUUCCUAUCCACAAUGUCCUAGCAGAACUUACACCAUCCCAUCCCUAUCCACAAUGUCCCAGCAGAACGUACACCAUCCCCAACCCUAUCCACAAUGUCCCAGCAGAACUUACACCAUCCCCAUCUCUAUCCACAAUGUCCUAGCAGAACUUACACCAUCCCAUCCCUAUUCACAAUGUCCGAGCAGAACUUACACCAUCCCCAUCCCUAUCCACAAUGUCCUAGCAGAACUUACAACAUCCCCAUCCAUAUCCACAAUGUCCUAGCAGAACUUACACCAUCCCCAUCCCUAUCCACAAUGUCCUAGCAGAACUUACACCAUCCCCAUCCAUGUCCACAAUGUCCUAGCAGAACUUACACCAUCCCAAACCCUAUCCACAAUGUCCUAGCAGAACUUACACCAUCCCCAACCCUAUCCACAAUGUCCUAGCAGAACUUACACCAUCCCUAUCCACAAUGUCCUAGCAGAACUUAUACCAUCCCCAUCCCUAUCCACAAUGUCCUAGCAGAACUUACACCAUCCCCAUCCAUAUCCACAAUGUCCCAGCAGAACGUACACCAUCCCCAUCCCUAUCCACAAUGUCCCAGCAGAACUUACACCUUCCCCAUCCCUAUCCACAAUGUCCCAGCAGAACUUACACCAUCCCCAACCCUAUCCACAAUGUCCUAGCAGAACUUACACCAUCCCCAGCCAUAUCCACAAUGUCCUAGCAGAACCAAAACCUACUUGUGGCCGGUUUCCACAUCAUCUCCCGACGUCCUCAGACAUGGAUGGACGUCGAUCACUGACUUGUAUCAUGGGUGACCUGGGUGGCAAUAACAACUACCUCAAACUCACAAGAACUGCUCAUUGAUUUCUGGUGGAAGGCAGACCCAGUGAGCCACCUAGUCCUGGGUGGUGAACAAGAAGAGAGAGUGGGGAGUUUGAAGUACCUUGGAACCAUCAUGGACAGCACACUCUCUUUUAAUGCCAACACCCAGAACAUUAAUAAAAAAUACCAACAACGACUACCACACCUG